UCUAAAACUUAAAGUUAUCAUAUUUGCAAAAGACCCGACCCCAUAAACUUUGAAAUUUGGUGAAACCCUCUGUCACUUCCUCUCAUUUUGCCCUAACCCGAUCUGCAUUUUCAUCAAAGGUCGAAUAUUUUUAAGGUUUCUGGAAACCGAAGUGGAGCUUCCUCUUCCUUUGGAUUAAUCGCAGCUACUUUAAAAGCUAGUCGCCGAAGCCAGUUCUUGGAGUGCUGCUGAUUUGUGCUGUUUCUAAUGAAAUGUGGAACCGUGCUUACAUGCAGCCAUUUCCUGCAAAAUGCAGAGGCUUAGGUCUGCUACUAGGCAGACCCUUCUAGCACCCUGGAAAAAGGAGCCUGCAUUGGGUGGAUCAUGAGAGACAAAACUGAGGUGCAGAAUGGAAGACGAAUGUUGUGUGACAAAGAGUGUUCUUUACAAUACUCGGUCAAAAUGGAGUUGGUUUGAGGUGAAUUUAGGUUAAAAGAUGAGUACUCUGGAUGCAACUCGAGCAGAACUUGCUCUUGUAAUUUUGUAUUUGAACAAAGCUGAAGCUAGGGACAAGAUAUGCAGGGCAAUACAAUAUGGUUUGAAAUUUUGGAGUGAUGGACAGCCUGGUACUGCCCAAAAUGUUGACAAAUCAACCAGCUUGGCACGGAAAGUUUUCCAUCUUUGGGUCAUGGUAAUCAUGAAUUAUUAUUCUCUCCCGCACAUGAAUUUUAAUUCCGGUCAGAUUCUGAAUUUUAAUUCAGCAAAGGAUUGUAACCCAACUCUCCCCACAAUUUUGCAAUGGACAUGGAACAAGUAACCAGGGACAAGUCUGGGUGGGGAUUUAAAAGGUCUAUUCCAGAAGAAAUAAUAGCUUUCCAUUUAUUUGGUUGAUAUUAUAGUAUAUAGAGGCUCUAUAGCAUAUCAAGAUUUGAAUAUCCAACACUCUAGUUCAUACUUUAUCUUCAAGAUCCAUGAAGUUGAUGUAUGGGGAUGUAAGGAAUUUCUUGCAUAGGUGAUGAAGAAAGAACAAAAUAGGAAUUUGAUAUAUGAUAUUUAUGACUUAAAUCGGUGUUUGGUGAUGAAAAAGGUUAUAGAUGUCAUAGGUGAAUUAAGAAUUUAAUGAAUAAAAAUAUCUUACAGAUUGCAGAUAUAACUAGUGACCCAUUGAAUCCACAGUAAGCAGUGACAUACCAUUUUAAUACCCAAAUAUUGUUGUUCCUUUUCUCUUGAAGGUGAUGAUGUGAAGGAAAAAAAGCCGGAUCCAUCAAUAUACCAAACAUCUGUGAAGGUAGAUAAAAGAAAUUUAAAUUUUUGUGUGCAAGCUACUUAUUUCUGUAUUUACUUGGCAACUGUCAUGAUCUGAUCUUUAAGCUUUUGUACCUCUCAGAGGCUAGGAGUGUCAGAGAAAGAUUGUUUGGUGGUGGAGGAUAGUGUUAGUGGGUUACAGGUAGAUUUUGUUUCUGUGAGAUUAUUAGUUAAUCUUUAUACUUGGAUUAAAGAGUUUCAAGAGCAUGAAUAAAACUGAAAAAAAAAAAGAAAAGAAGAAAAGUUUGCGCAGCUGUGUCUUCGAGAGACAUAGGGUUAUGCCACGCAACUUUUGCAAGAUAAAGGAUGUUUAUGUUCUGUCUGUUAGCAAAAGCAAUUUGUGGAAUCUUAUGGGAAAACUUAGGCAUUACUCUGUUGUAAAUAAUCUUAGAUUCACAGCAUACUGGAAACUUAGGCUUUACUGUACAAUACAGUGGAACUGCUAUUAUAUGCGCCAACUCGUCCAGUUAUAGAUUCUGCGUUAGUAUUCUUAUGGAUGAUGGCUGUUGGAACUGUUGUCUGUGCUGCACUUUGGCCAGAGUAUAUUGCGUGUGAGCAGAAUGAUGAGCGCUAUAAUGAAUUGUCACCAAAGGUUUUAAUAUCCUCCAUUUUAGAAUCUUGAAGUUUACAUUUAAGUUUCUUUAAUUGGAAUGCUUGUUGCAGAUGUCUUGAUAUGCAUCAUAGUUAACUUGUGUUGAAAUUACUCGAUUUUUUAACUUUUAAAUAUUGUGUAAUAUAUAAUGAUUAAUGGGACUCAGCAUUUGAGAUGGACUCUCUUUUUUCAUUGGCUAGGCUUUUGAAGCUGGGGCAACAAAAGAUAAUCAAGGGAAGGAAGUCCUUGAUAUUAGUGAAAAGGGUGUUGUAGGUUUUGUCAUGUGAGACUAGUACUGGAUGUGCUAAAAAGCCAAAGAAAGGUGUUCCUGGCACACCAUGGGUUUGGAGGCAAUUUGAUUAACCCUCUUAGAUAUAGUCUGAGGGGAAUGUGAAUAUUAUUUUCUUCAUAGAUAGCUUAUAUUUAGACUGUGUUAAAUACUAUAAUUUUGUUGUAAUAAAAAGUCUGUAUCAUUACCCGUUGCUAUCCCUCACAAAAUAUUGUGCCACUUCAUUUAAUGAGUAUAGAUUUCAGUAUUAUUCUGAUGUUUAUUAAUAUGAAUUUCAACCAGCCUGUAAAGUUCCAUGUGAUGGUUGUGGAAAAUUUUGUUUUUAAUUACUUUCAGUUUUCACUAUCACAUCAAUUUAUGCAUAUUUCUUCAUAUGCGGUCUAUAUGAAUAAGUUCGUAUAUUAGAAUUUAUAUAAAUUCACAUCAUAUGGUAGUUUGAUUUAGGUAAUGACUUCUAGUCAUUUUUUCACUGUUGCAGGGCUUCCUCAUGUAAGGUGUAUGGUGUUGUCCCGCCCCCGCACCAGUUAUUGGUUGGUGUUCAGAGUUCUGGGAGUGAGCUAAAUGUAAAAACAAGUUCAAAUGCUUGUUUGACAUCAUCGGCUGGAAGCUCUACACCAACUCCAUUAGUUUCCUCUUUUGACUUUGUGAACAGUGAUUUAUCGGUUUGGUGUUUAUCAUGCGAUGCAUAUUUGGAUGCUCAAGCGAUUUUGCAACUCCACCCUGUUUAUGAAACUACAUAUAUACUGAAAUUUGGCCAGGCCCCUCCAUUUCCAACCACAAAUAAUCAAGCAGAAGCUUCAACUUAUGCAAUUAAGUUUCAACAUGGCACAUUAGAUUUGUAGGUUCUACUAUUGAGUCCUUAUUUUUGUUCUUCUCAUUUUGGAAAUUGGGAAGGAUGUUGGGUUCUGGUUGGUUGUUAAGAAAAAACCAAUUGUCACAACCAUUGUUAAAAAAUUAUCCUUGAAAUAGUUAAGGAAAACUGAUUCUGUUUUAUGCAAUACCAAAGAGAGUUAUACAAGACA